GACAGAGGUGCCGAGCGUUAGGCGGAAUCACUGGGCUUAAAGCGUGUGUAGGCGGACUUCUAAGUACCUUGUGAAAUCCCACGGCUUAACCCGUGGAACUGCUUGGUAUACUGGUUGUCUUGGGCCAUCUAGGGGCUAGCGGAACAAACGGUGGAGCGGUGAAAUGCGUAGAUAUCGUUUGGAACGCCAAUGGUGAAAACAGCUAGCUGGGGAUGUGCCGACGGCUGAGACACGAAAGCCAGGGAGCGAACGGG
rnacentral:rRNA from 1 species